rnacentral:rRNA from 1 species
GACGAACGCUGGCGGCGUGCCUAAUACAUGCAAGUAGAACGCACAGUUUAUACCGUAGCUUGCUACACCAUAGACUGUGAGUUGCGAACGGGUGAGUAACGCGUAGGUAACCUGCCUGGUAGCGGGGGAUAACUAUUGGAAACGAUAGCUAAUACCGCAUAAUAUUGAUUAUUGCAUGAUAAUUGAUUGAAAGAUGCUAUUGCAUCACUACCAGAUGGACCUGCGUUGUAUUAGCUAGUAGGUGAGGUAACGGCUCACCUAGGCGACGAUACAUAGCCGACCUGAGAGGGUGAUCGGCCACACUGGGACUGAGACACGGCCCAGACUCCUACAGGAGGCAGCAGUAGGGAAUCUUCGGCAAUGGACGAAAGUCUGACCGAGCAACGCCGCGUGAGUGAAGAAGGUUUUCGGAUCGUAAAGCUCUGUUGUAAGAGAAGAACGGGUGUGAGAGUGGAAAGUUCACACUGUGACGGUAUCUUACCAGAAAGGGACGGCUAACUACGUG